rnacentral:rRNA from 1 species
UGCAUAGAGUGGCGAACGGGUGAGUAACACGUGGGGAACCUGCCCCUCUCCCUGGGACAACUUCGAGAAAUCGGAGCUAAUACCGGAUACUCCUUGCGGACCGCAUGGUCUGCUCGGGAAAGCUCCGGCGGUGAGGGAUGGCCCCGCGGCCCAUUAGCUAGUUGGUGAGGUAAUGGCCCACCAAGGCGACGAUGGGUAGCCGAGCUGAGAGGCUGAUCGGCCACACUGGGACUGAGACACGGCCCAGACUCCUACGGGAGGCAGCAGUGGGGAAUUUUGCGCAAUGGGCGAAAGCCUGACGCAGCAACGCCGCGUGCGGGAUGAAGGCCCUCGGGUCGUAAACCGCUUUCAGCAGGGACGAACGUGACGGUACCUGCAGAAGAAGCCCCGGCUAACUACGUGCCAGCAGCCGCGGUAAUACGUAGGGGGCAAGCGUUAUCCGGAUUUAUUGGGCGUAAAGAGCGCGUAGGCGGAUUGUUAAGCGAGAUGUGAAAACCGGGGGCUCAACCCGCGGUCUGCAUCUCGAACUGGCAGACUUGAGUCUGGUAGAGGAAAGUGGAAUUCCUGGUGUAGCGGUGAAAUGCGCAGAUAUCAGGAGGAACACCAGUGGCGAAGGCGGCUUUCUGGGCCGCGACUGACGCUGAGGCGCGAAAGCUAGGGGAGCAAACAGGAUUAGAUACCCUGGUAGUCCUAGCCGUAAACGAUGGGCACUAGGUGUGGGGGGUCAUCGACUCCCUCCGUGCCGAAGCUAACGCAUUAAGUGCCCCGCCUGGGGAGUACGGCCGCAAGGCUAAAACUCAAAGGAAUUGACGG